AUUUCACCAGAUAGGACAGACUGAACCUAGCCCCCCAGCACAUAGACUAUUGCAGCAUAGAUACUAGAGGCUGAGACAGGCGGGGUGAGGGGAACACUGUGGCCCUGUCCUACGAUACCCCUGGACAGGGCAAACCAGGCAGGAUUUAACCCCACCCGCUUUGCCAAAGCACAGCCCUCACACCACGAGAGGGAUAAGCUCCUAUAGUAUCACACACAUCAUUAACGGUAACAUAUAAAGGAGUCCAGAUGGAGUGCUGUCAGGACCCUGACAAGUGAGACACCGCAGCUGGAAGACCUCCUGGUGAUCACUCCGCUAACAGUCACAGCUAAGGCUGGGGAGCCUGUGUGGAGACCUUAUGGAUCAAAAUAACUGUCACAGUUCUCAAAGGAGGGAGACAUCAACUUAGGAGACAUUUUCUCCUUUCACCAAAACCCAGUCAGUGUGAACCCAACUCUGCAGGUCAACCCAGGAAGCAUCCAGUGUGAAGGGCUGGACCCAGGUGAGCUCCAGUACAACCAGAACAUGAUCUUUGCCAUAGUGGAGAUCAGUAACAGCUCUGAGCUGCUGCCAGGGCUGUCUCUGGGCUACAGGAUCCUUUUAACUCGUGCAUAACCCUCUGUGCGGGCGUCCCUGGCUCUGAUAAACGGAUAUGAGGAGGGGCCACAGAGCUGGCAUGCACCAUGGAGCCCUUCCACAUACCAGUCGUGAGUCAGGGAGUGUCUGGUAUGGUGCGUACCAUGGAGCCCUUCCACAUACCAGUCGUGAGUCAGGGAGUGUCUGGCAAGGCUCGUACCAUGGAGCCCUUCCACAUACCAGUGGUGAGUCAGGGAGUGUCUGGCAUGAUGCGUACCAUGGAGCCCUUCCACAUACCAGUGCUCAGUCAUUCAGCCAGCUGUGCUUGUCUGAGUAACAGAAGGCAAUACCCUUCAUUCUUCAGCACCAUUUCU